rnacentral:lncRNA from 1 species
CAAGCCCCACAGUAGCGUGGCCCAAGCGCGAAAGGCACUAGUAUGGCCCAGUGCGGGUGUGCGGCCCUAGCUCAAGCAUGCGGCCCAACGCAAGUGGGUAGCCCAGGCGGGCGUGCGGCCUAUGAUGCACACGUGCCCACACAAUGUGCAGGAUUUGGCACAUUCCAUGGUGGACCAUGUAGGAUGGUGCGGUCCAUACCUUCCAUGU